rnacentral:rRNA from 1 species
CUGAAUAACUGAGCAGAUCGCUUCUGUCUUUGUACCGGCGACGUAUCUUUCUUGUGUCUGCCUUAUCAACUUUUUAUGGUGGUUUUUGUGCCUACCAUGGUUGUAACGGGUAACGGAGAAUAAGGGUGCGACUCCGGAGAGGGAGCCUGAGAAACGGCUACCACUUCUAAGGAAGGCAGCAGGCGCGCAAAUUACCCACUCUCGGCACGAGGAGGUAGUGACGAAAAAUAACAAGACGGGUCACGUCGGUGGUCCGUCAUCGGAAUGAGAACAAUGUAAACCCUUUAACGAGGACCUAGCGGAGGGCAAGUCUGGUGCCACCAGCCGCGGUAAUUCCUGCUCCGCCAGUGUAUAUCUAUGCUGCUGCGGUUAAAAAG